UACGUAGGGCGCAAGCGUUGUCCGGAAUUAUUGGGCGUAAAGAGCUCGUAGGCGGCCUGUCGCGUCUGCUGUGAAAUCCCGGGGCUCAACCCCGGGCCUGCAGUGGAUACGGGCUGGCUGGAGGCAGGCAGGGGAGAACGGAAUUCCUGGUGUAGCGGUGAAAUGCGCAGAUAUCAGGAGGAACACCGGUGGCGAAGGCGGGUCUCUGGGCAAUAACUGACGCUGAGGAGCGAAAGCGUGGGGAGCGAACAGG
rnacentral:rRNA from 1 species